GCCGCUGUGGCUUAGUUGGUAGAGCAGCUGAUUCGUAAUCAGCAGGUCGGGGGUUCAAAUCCCUCCAGCGGCU
rnacentral:tRNA from 4 species